rnacentral:rRNA from 1 species
GCAUCCCAUCAUACCAACACUAAAUCACCGGAUCCCAUCAGAACUCCGGAAGAAGCCUGCUUUCGGCUAGAGUAUAGUGACUAAUCGCCUGACCUCCUCUGUAAUCCUCGUUUUUCAUUCCC